GAAGUCGUUACUCCAACCCUUGUGGAGGAGGACGCCGAAGGUGGGGCUAAUGACUGGGGUGAAGUCGUAACAAGGUAGCCGUACCGGAAGGUGCGGCUGGAUCACCUCCUAACAGGGAGACAACACAAUGAUUUCGAUGCCUGAGUAUUUUUAUUCUUAGGCCGAAAUCCUGUCACCUUAGGUCGAUCGGUACCUCAGCGUUGAAGCAACAGAGUUAACAGAGAUGUUGAUGCGUGUUGUGGAGAUGAUCAGUUCCUAAACUUUGUCUAGGUCACACCCCACAAGGGUUGAGUUUUCCUGGGCCAUUAGCUCAGGUGGUUAGAGCGCACCCCUGAUAAGGGUGAGGUCCCUGGUUCAAGUCCAGGAUGGCCCAUUCGGUGUUGGGGGUUUAGCUCAGUUGGUAGAGCGCCUGCUUUGCAAGCAGGAUGUCAGGAGUUCGAGUCUCCUAACCUCCACUGACCGAACUCAAUCUCCGGUUUUGCAUUGAAAGAUGGAGAGCCACUCGAUUGUGAUGUGUGAUUUAGAUGUGUCCGCUGGAUGACCCCAGCUUCCUGUCAUUCCAAAUCGAAGUAAAGGAUUUUACUUGAACGAAUUUGGUUGAUAAGAUGCUGGGCUCGAGUUCAAUGAUCAAGAGAUUGAUCAUUGGAUUUGAAGUCUGGCAGAACCUUGACAACUGCAUAGGUAAGUCUGGAAAAACAAAGCAUCUUACAGAUGCAUUGUUUUGAAUCUGAUCUUCUGAAAGGGAGAUUGGAUCUAGAACAAUGAAAAUUCUUUUGAGCAAGAGCCGAGACUCUUGAGCGUUCUUUGAUUCGUGUCGAGCGAAUCAGAGUUUGAUCUUGUUUUAGGAAUCAUCGAAAGUUGAUGAUUAAAACUUGAGAAUCUGCUUUCAACGGCGGUAAGCGUUCAAGAGAUUAAUUGGUCAAGCUACAAAGGGCUCACGGCGGAUACCUUGGCACACAGAGGCGAUGAA
rnacentral:misc_RNA from 1 species